GACCGGCGGCGUAUCACUGGAACGUUCAGUCCGCGAUGAGCCACCGACGGGUGAGUUUAGUUCAUCGUUUUAACGUUACGCGUAAUAUUUAUGUAUAUGUGCGUGUAUAUUUUUUACACGGUCGUGUGCGUUGUUAAAACUCACGUGUCCCCAUCGAUUCAUACACGUUAAUAAAUACACGAGUGCAUUGUGUUGUAAGUCAACGUGUAUCACGUUGUAAGUUCGUAAGUUCGUAAGUUCAUCCUUCGAAAAGUGAAUAUUGUGUAUUGGUGUUUCUAUUACAUUUUUUUUUUUUUUUUUAUUUUGUUUUGUCUCUUCCCCUCUCUUAACUUUCUGGCCUUAGGCAUCGUACAACUGGAGAAUUUUAGUCUAAUAAUAGAUGUGUCUGCGUGCGUGCGCGAGCUCGCGUGCGUGCGUAUGUAUGUAUGCAUGUUUAUUCGUCGUGUGUGCGCGCGCGGCAAUGUGGAGGAUGAUGUUUUUUAUCGAGUGUUACUCUUGAGAAAAGGAAAGAGAGGAAAAAACGAAGAGGAAGUGGAGGAGGGAGGAGACGAAGAAGAAGAAGAAGAAGAAGAACUGAAAAGGAAUGAAAUGUUUUAAUAAUAAUAAUUAUAAAUAAUAA